rnacentral:rRNA from 1 species
UACGAAGGGGGCUAGCGUUGCUCGGAAUUACUGGGCGUAAAGCGCACGUAGGCGGCUUUCUAAGUCGGGGGUGAAAUCCUGGAGCUCAACUCCAGAACUGCCUUCGAUACUGGAGAGCUUGAGUCCGGGAGAGGUGAGUGGAACUCCGAGUGUAGAGGUGAAAUUCGUAGAUAUUCGGAAGAACACCAGUGGCGAAGGCGGCUCACUGGCCCGGUACUGACGCUGAG